GAUGAACGCUGGCGGCGUGCUUAGCACAUGCAAGUCGAACGGUGGACACGGAGCUUGCUCUGUGGGAUCAGUGGCGAACGGGUGAGUAACACGUGAGCAACCUGCCCCUGACUCUGGGAUAAGCGCUGGAAACGGCGUCUAAUACUGGAUACGAGUAGCGGCCGCAUGGUCAGUUACUGGAAAGAUUUUUUGGUUGGGGAUGGGCUCGCGGCCUAUCAGCUUGUUGGUGAGGUAAUGGCUCACCAAGGCGUCGACGGGUAGCCGGCCUGAGAGGGUGACCGGCCACACUGGGACUGAGACACGGCCCAGACUCCUACGGGAGGCAGCAGUGGGGAAUAUUGCACAAUGGGCGAAAGCCUGAUGCAGCAACGCCGCGUGAGGGAUGACGGCCUUCUGGUUGUAAACCUCUUUUAGCAGGGAAGAAGCGAAAGUGACGGUACCUGCAGAAAAAGCGCCGGCUAACUACGUGCCAGCAGCCGCCGUAA
rnacentral:rRNA from 1 species